rnacentral:rRNA from 1 species
AUGAACGCUGGCGGCGUGCCUAAUACAUGCCAGUCGCGCGAACAGACGAGGAGCUUGCUCCUCUGACGUUAGCGGCGGACGGGUGAGUAACACGUGGAUAACCUACCUAUAAGACUGGGAUAACUUCGGGAAACCGGAGCUAAUACCGGAUAAUAUAUUGAACCGCCUGGUUCAAUAGUGAAAGACGGUUUUGCUGUCACUUAUAGAUGGAUCCGCGCCGCAUUAGCUAGUUGGUAAGGUAACGGCUUACCAAGGCAACGAUGCGUAGCCGACCUGAGAGGGUGAUCGGCCACACUGGAACUGAGACACGGUCCAGACUCCUACGGGAGGCAGCAGUAGGGAAUCUUCCGCAAUGGGCGAAAGCCUGACGGAGCAACGCCGCGUGAGUGAUGAAGGUCUUCGGAUCGUAAAACUCUGUUAUUAGGGAAGAACAAAUGUGUAAGUAACUAUGCACGUCUUGACGGUACCUAAUCAGAAAGCCACGGCUAACUACGUG